rnacentral:lncRNA from 1 species
CAUCUGUCUGUGUUUCUCGUCCUAUUGGUUUUAGGACACGAGACAUUCUUGUCUUUCGAGAGCAUGACAGCAAAGGGGUGUUACUAAAGAGUUAUACCAAAACACGGGUGUAGCCCACAGCAAAAAAGGACAUGGCUAUUCAGUCAAGGCAUCUCAUGUUGGAAGAAAAAAACGUUGCAGCUGCUUAAGACAACUUCUUUUGGACUUUGAGUUUUUCAUGUAUAGAGGGAUUCCUGAAGAUAUCGUCUUGGCUACUGCUGACAAGGACAGACGAGCACAAAUGGCAGAAAGGUUUAUCAAUGAAACAGGAAGUGAUGGCCGAUCAGUUCUUGGGAUGUUGGAGGUGCAGGUGGAAAAAGACCCAAAGACUGGUGCCACCACCGUCAGGUCUCUGUCCCCCAUAUCUACGUCAGCUGCUGCUGCGAAGGCUGCUCCGAUCUUUGACGACGGUAGAAAGAGCAUCCGAGCUGUCGGCGUGGCAGCAGAAGAACCGACCACUGAAGAGCUCGGUCAGAUUUUGAACCUGAUUGACGGGGUUGGUAUGAAAAUGUUGUUGAAUGAAAUACCAGUCCCAUCAAAGAAGGUGGAGAAGGAGAAUGAGAGUGCAAACAGCAGUCACCCCCCACAGGCAAAAAGCGUACAAUUUGAUACCCAUCACAACAAGGCAAAGAAAGACAACGACAGAUCUAGAAGCAACUAUGGCAAGUUGAAUGUAGAGAAAAGUGCUGUAGGUGUUGGGAAUGGGAAUGACAGAAUUGUGAUUGGAGACCUUGCAGAGGAAGUAGAUCACAUUGAAGAUGAAAAGCUGAAAGAAGGUCCAAUAACGCUGAUGUUCUUGGGUUACGCUGAUGGCUUAAGCAAUGAGCAUCAGGACGACGACGAGCAACAAGGUGUGAUUGCAGUGGAGCGAGUGCUUAUCACAGAUGACGGGGAGGAGCUUGUCUUAGGACCACAAGAAACUGGUUCACUCCAGCCACCAUCAGACAAAGUCACUGAAAAGGAAGGAGGAAGAGGCGAAGUGUCUCAAGACGUUCCACUGAAUGGAAAUGAAACAGAAGGAAAUGUCCAGAGUGAAGAAGGUGAUAAACAGCAGCAGAGUUCAUCUUCUCAUAGACCAAUAGAUGGAAAGAACUCAGCCAAGAACAAGAAGUGUCACUGCUGCUCAGUCAUGUAGGAAAUCACUGACUCUUUCAGUCAUAUUUUUUAGCUGCAAUGCUGCUUUAAGACCGAUUUUUGUUUUUUAAACUGUUGUAUUCAUUGUGGCAACAAAUACAGAUGCAUUUACUGUAGAUGUUGUAGUCUUUUGUAUGCACUAGCGCAACCAAGUGGUAGCAAAACUCUUGUAAAUAUGUACAUUUGCACCCCCUUCUGGACAAGAUGAAGAAUUUAACAUGGUCUGUCAUUACUCAAGUGUUAUAAAGGAAGUUGGGGAAAAAAAUACAGAAAAAGAACCCAAUAAUCUCCAGAAAAACAUUUUAAGACUAUAAUAAAUAAAUUGAGUUUUUGGGAUCA